rnacentral:lncRNA from 1 species
AUGCAGCAGUCAGGCUCCAGAAUGUCAUCUGUUAUGGAAGUGAAGACGCCGUGCUCAGCGAGGGGGCUUCCCAGCAGGACUGCUGCGACAUCGUUUCAGGUAUGGGGAGACCUGGGAUGCGCCCGGCACCGUGGAAGGGCUGGGGAGAAAGUGAUCCACGGGAGCGUACAGUGCUGCCCUGAGACCUUGCACUUGACUGCAAAGCUCAACAAGGUGAGUCACCCAAGGAGGGGGAGGUACUGUGGAAUGCUGGUCGAAGGCUAUCAGGGAGGGCUUCCGGGAAGCGGUGAUCUCCAAGCCAAGACCCAGUGGACAAACCAGCUUUGGAUUUGUGUGUGUGUGUGUCUGUGUGUGUCUGAGUGAGGAGGAGUGUGGUGGGGCAGAGACUGGAAUGAAAUCGCAGCCAGAGACACAAGUGCUCUGGACUAAAAGAUGAGUGUGCGCGGCUGCACAGACACCCACGGUGCGGGAGGCCGGCUGCAGCCCUGGCCUGGAGGAUGCUGCGGUUCACCGUGAGGACUUGGCUUUGAUCCAGAGGGCGGCGGAGCGCCAUGGGAAGGCCGAGGAGAGGCGCGAUGGCACCGGCUGGUUUCCCAGCACUAAGGUCCCUGGGGCCCCCUGCAGAGAAAAUGUCCAGGCGGCGAGGUCCACCUCCCACGCCAGCGCAGAGAAUUGUGGAAUCGGUUCUGGGGUCCGUUUUAGACGUUGAGACCUAAAAAGGAAUAUAAGAAAAUGCCUCUAACAACCCCACCCCACCCCCCGACAAAGAGUAGUUCCAGAAAUGGGGGCUAGGUGGUCCUGGCGUCAAGCCAAGAAUGAGUGGCCAGGGCACCUGAGGGUGGGCACGUGCUGCUAAGCUGGGGGAGGGCGUCUCGGAGCCCUUCUCUCUGCCCCCAAGGACGCUGGCAGGUAACAAGGGGGUACCCGCUCUGCUGCCCUCUUGCCGGGUCUCCACUCCUGCAUCUGCAGGACCUGCCCGGGAGGGCGGAGAGGCUGGGGGCAGGCUGGGGAAGCCGCCCGCUCCACCUCCGGAGCGCUGCGGGGGUGCAAGAGUUCUCGGUUCUGUUCUCCUGGAAAGGCCUCCGUGUCCUGUGGUCCCACAGGGUGGAGGCCAGUGGCUCCGUCCACAGAGCACAGCUCACCUACUCUGCACUGGGGGUGUCGGGGACCAGAAGGUCACACCGGGGAGCAGUGGCGAGAGGGACUGCGCUGGGGGACCUGGGAGAGGGGAGAGGCAGGCCAGGCCUUGAAGGUGCAGAGCAGGUCUCUCGGCCUUCAGGUCAGGUCAGGAUGGAGGCACGCCGCCCCCUCCGCUGCUUCCAGAGGAGCCGCCACUGUGAUUCUUCUGCCCGCUGUUCUCAGCUCCCCAAAGCCUCUCUCUCCCUGCCCUCAGCUCCUGUUCUUCCACUGCGACCGUCGCUGGCCUGGUCUCCCUGAGACUGACCCUCCGUAUGUGUCUGGGUCACCGUCACUGCCCUGUUUUGGUCGUCUGUCCCUUGCUCUCCGCGGCAGUCCCUGUCUCCAUCCACGCCUCGCCCCUCCGCCGUCUCCCCACGCCGCCUCCCUGGCUCUCCUCUCUGAGCUUUGUCUUCUCUGUCUCUGCCUGGUCCCCAUCUCC